rnacentral:rRNA from 1 species
CCUACGGGGGGCAUCAGUGGGGAAUAUUGCACAAUGGGGGAAACCCUGAUGCAGCAACGCCGCGUGAGCGAAGAAGGCCUUCGGGUCGUAAGGCUCUGUCCUAAGGGAAGAAAAAUGACGGUACCUUAGGAGGAAGCCCCGGCUAACUACGUGCCAGCAGCCGCGGUAAUACGUAGGGGGCGAGCGUUGUCCGGAAUUAUUGGGCGUAAAGCGCGCGCAGGCGGCCGGCGAAGUCUCAUGUUUAAACCUGAGGCUUAACCUUGGGGCGCAUGGGAAACUGGUCGGCUUGAGUGCAGGAGAGGGAAGCGGAAUUCCACGUGUAGCGGUGAAAUGCGUAGAUAUCAGGAGGAAUACCAGUGGCGAAGGCGACUUUCUGGACUUAGACUGACGCUGAGGUACGAAAGCGUGGGGAGCAAACAGGAUUAGAUACCCUGGUAGUC